rnacentral:rRNA from 1 species
GACGUAGGGCGCGAGCGUUUGUCCGGAUUUAUUGGGCGUAAAGAGCGUGUAGGCGGUUUGGUAGGUCCGCUGUGAAAACUCGAGGCUCAACCUCGAGACGCCGGUUGAAACCAUCAGGCUAGAGUCCGGAAGAGGCGAGUGGAACUCCUGGUGUAGCGGUGGAAUGCGCAGAUAUCAGGAAGAACACCAACGGCGAAGGCAGCUCGCUAGGACGGUACUGACGCUGAGACGCGAAAAGCGUGGGGAGCGAACAGG